GCAACUCGCCUGCAUGAAGUCGGAAUUGCUAGUAAUCGCAGAUCAGCAUGCUGCGGUGAAUACGUUCCCGGGCCUUGUACACACCGCCCGUCACACCAUGGGAGUCGGUAACACCCAAAGUUGGUAGCCUAACCGCAAGGAGGGCGCCGCCUAAGGUGGGAUUGAUGACUGGGGUGAAGUCGUAACAAGGUAUC
rnacentral:rRNA from 1 species